GAUGAACGCUGGCGGCGUGCUUAACACAUGCAAGUCGAACGAACCUUCGGGUUAGUGGCGGACGGGUGAGUAACGCGUGAGAAUCUGCCCUCAGGAGGGGGAUAACGGCUGGAAACGGCCGCUAAUACCCCCAUAUGCCGAGAGGUGAAAUGAAAUUCGCCUGAGGAUGAGCUCGCGUCUGAUUAGCUAGUUGGUGUGGUAAAGGCUCACCAAGGCUUCGAUCAGUAGCUGGUCUGAGAGGAUGAUCAGCCACACUGGGACUGAGACACGGCCCAGACUCCUACGGGAGGCAGCAGUGGGGAAUUUUCCGCAAAUGGGGCGCAAAGGCCCUGACGGAGCAACGCCGCGUGAGGGAU
rnacentral:rRNA from 1 species